rnacentral:rRNA from 1 species
AGCGAACGCUGGCGGCAGGCUUAACACAUGCAAGUCGAGCGGGCAUCUUCGGAUGUCAGCGGCAGACGGGUGAGUAACACGUGGGAACGUACCCUUCGGUUCGGAACAACUCUGGGAAACUGGAGCUAAUACCGGAUACGCCCUUAUGGGGAAAGGUUUACUGCCAAAGGAUCGGCCCGCGUCUGAUUAGCUAGUUGGUGGGGUAACGGCCUACCAAGGCGACGAUCAGUAGCUGGUCUGAGAGGAUGAUCAGCCACACUGGGACUGAGACACGGCCCAGACUCCUACGGGAGGCAGCAGUGGGGAAUAUUGGACAAUGGGCGCAAGCCUGAUCCAGCCAUGCCGCGUGAGUGAUGAAGGCCUUAGGGUUGUAAAGCUCUUUUGUCCGGGACGAUAAUGACGGUACCGGAAGAAUAAGCCCCGGCUAACUUCGUG